rnacentral:rRNA from 1 species
AGUCGAACGCGAAAGCCUCCUUCGGGGGGCAAGUAGAGUGGCGCACGGGUGAGUAACACGUAGGUAAUCUACCUUUGGAUUGGGAAUAACAACCGGAAACGGUUGCUAAUACCGAAUAAUGCAGCGGCACCUAAUGGUGACAGUUGUUAAAGCGGGGGAUCGCAAGACCUCGCGUCUGAAGAGGAGCCUGCGGCAGAUUAGCUAGUUGGUAAGGUAACGGCUUACCAAGGCGAUGAUCUGUAGCCGGCCUGAGAGGGCGGUCGGCCACACUGACACUGACAUACGGGUCAGACUCCUACGGGAGGCAGCAGUCGGGAAUUUUGGGCAAUGGGCGAAAGCCUGACCCAGCAACGCCGCGUGAAGGAUGAAAUCCUUCGGGAUGUAAACUUCGCAAGAACGGGAAGAAUAAGUAAGGGUUAAUAUCUCUUACGAUGACGGUACUGUUUGUAAGCUCCGGCUAACUCCGUGCCAGCAGCCGCGGUAAUACGGGGGGAGCAAGCGUUGUUCGGAUUUACUGGGCGUAAAGGGCGCGUAGGCGGCCACCGCAAGUCGACUGUGAAAUCUCCGGGCUUAACCCGGAACGGUCAGCCGAUACUGCGGGGCUAGAGUGCAGAAGGGGCAACUGGAAUUCUCGGUGUAGCGGUGAAAUGCGUAGAUAUCGAGAGGAACACCUGCGGCGAAGGCGGGUUGCUGGGCUGACACUGACGCUGAGGCGCGAAAGCUAGGGGAGCGAACGGGAUUAGAUACCCCGGUAGUCCUAGCCUUAAACGAUGAAUGCUUGGUGUCUGGGGUUUUAUAGUCCCCGGGU